rnacentral:lncRNA from 1 species
AUGAGCCCCUGUGCACCGCCUGGAUUUUCAGCCGCCCUGCGGGGGCCUGGGGCACGGUGCACGCUCGGCUUCUGGAAGCUUCUCUGUGGUGGGGCCAGGCCGGCGGGCUGUGGGAAGGGGCGGCAGCUCACGCAGCGUCACGGGCGGGGACCGAGGAACCGGCGCGAGUCAGUGCGUGUCCACGGCCGGCAGCGCGGAGGCCCGGCCCGACUCUCGUGGGCGCCAGGGCGCGGCCGUCCUCGGGGCAGGCGGGAGCUCCCGCGGCAGCUCCCGGGCUGUCCCCAGCGUCCGUCCGUCCCACACCCGUCCCCGUCCCUAACCCCCCGUCCCUCCUGCACCCGUCCCCGUCCCCAGCGUCCGUUCCUCUGGCACCCAUCCCCGUCCCCGUCUCUCUCCCUCACCCAUCUCUCUCUCGCACCCGUCCCUGUCCCUCGCCCGCACCUGUCCCCGUCCCCAUCCCCGUCCCGUCCCCCUCCCGUCCCGUCCCCCGUCCGCACCAGCCACCGCCCCCCACCGUCCCGCGGGGUCCCGCCAUGGCGCCCCGCGUCCCGCCAUCCGGCACACACACCCCGGGCCGCGGCCGUGGUCCUCACCGCCUCCGGGCGGAGACCGCGCGGGGCCACCUGCGCCCCCACCUGCGCCCCCACCUGCGCCCCCACCGGCCUGGCGACGGCUACCCGCCCCGCGCGCCCCGCUGCGGCCUUCCCGGACAGGGACACGGCGCCCGCGUGGCCGCCCCCGAGGCUCCCUCGCCACCUCGCGUGCAUCACACCCGCCACGCUGGUCUUCGCGCUCUUGUCUUUCUCGCGUUUUCCCCGGGAGGAAAUAUUUAGAACCAAACAAACGUCUACAAUAGCCGCAGCCAGUUACGAAGCGCAUUUGCCGAGAACGCGAACUGCUCCGCGGGACCCGCAGCUGAGCCCCCAGCGCCCUCCACGCCUCGCCAGGCCCACGCAGAAGCGCUCGCCUUCCCGCAUGUGUUUAACCCUGGCGCGCACUACAGCUCCGCCUUCCAACAUUUCAAUUCAAAAACUCCUUAGUGGGGAAUUAAAGUUUUAUCUUUAUCAAUGA